UACGUAGGGUGCAAGCGUUGUCCGGAAUUAUUGGGCGUAAAGAGCUCGUAGGUGGCGGGUCACGUCGGGUGUGAAAGCCCGGGGCUUAACCCCGGGUCUGCAUUCGAUACGGGUCUGCUGGGGUCCGGCAGGGGAGACUGGAAUUCCUGGUGUAGCGGUGGAAUGCGCAGAGUAUCAGGAGGAACACCGAUGGCGAAGGCAGGUCUCGUGGGCAUUGAACUGACGCUGGAGGAGCGAAAGCAUGGGGAGCGAACAGGA
rnacentral:rRNA from 1 species